GACGAACGCUGGCGGCGUGCUUAACACAUGCAAGUCGAACGGAAAGGCCCUGCUUUUGUGGGGUGCUCGAUUGGCGAACGGGUGAGUAACACGUGAGUAACCUGCCCUUGACUUUGGGAUAACUUCAGGAAACUGGGGCUAAUACCGGAUAGGAGCUCCUGCUGCAUGGUGGGGGUUGGAAAGUUUCGGCGGUUGGGGAUGGACUCGCGGCUUAUCAGCUUGUUGGUGGGGUAGUGGCUUACCAAGGCUUUGACGGGUAGCCGGCCUGAGAGGGUGACCGGCCACAUUGGGACUGAGAUACGGCCCAGACUCCUACGGGAGGCAGCAGUGGGGAAUAUUGCACAAUGGGCGGGAGCCUGAUGCAGCAACGCCGCGUGCGGGAUGACGGCCUUCGGGUUGUAAACCGCUUUCGACUGUGACGAAGCGUGAGUGACGGUAAUGGGUAAAGAAGCACCGGCUAACUACGUG
rnacentral:rRNA from 1 species